AGAUUGAACGCUGGCGGCAGGCUUAACACAUGCAAGUCGAGCGGAAACGAAGAUAGCUUGCUAUCAGGCGUCGAGCGGCGGACGGGUGAGUAACGCGUAGGAAUCUACCUAGUAGUGGGGGAUAGCCCAGAGAAAUUUGGAUUAAUACCGCAUACGCCCUACGGGGGAAAGGAGGGGAUCUGUUUACAGACCUUUCGCUAUUAGAUGAGCCUGCGUGAGAUUAGCUAGUUGGUGGGGUAAAGGCUCACCAAGGCGACGAUCUCUAGCUGGUCUGAGAGGAUGAUCAGCCACACUGGGACUGAGACACGGCCCAGACUCCUACGGGAGGCAGCAGUGGGGAAUAUUGGACAAUGGGGGCAACCCUGAUCCAGCCAUGCCGCGUGUGUGAAGAAGGCCUUCGGGUUGUAAAGCACUUUCAGCGAGGAGGAAAGGUUGUAGGUUAAUAACCUGCAGCUGUGACGUUACUCGCAGAAGAAGGACCGGCUAACUCCGUGCCAGCAGCCGCGGUAAUACGGAGGGUCCGAGCGUUAAUCGGAAUUACUGGGCGUAAAGCGCGCGUAGGCGGUUAGAUCAGUCAGAUGUGAAAGCCCUGGGCUCAACCUGGGAACUGCAUCUGAUACUGUCUAACUAGAGUUUGGUAGAGGAGUGUGGAAUUUCCUGUGUAGCGGUGAAAUGCGUAGAUAUAGGAAGGAACACCAGUGGCGAAGGCGACACUCUGGACCAAAACUGACGCUGAGGUGCGAAAGCGUGGGGAGCAAACAGGGUUAGAUACCCUGGUAGUCCACGCCGUAAACGAUGUCUACUAGCCGUUGGGAGACUUGAUCUCUUAGUGGCGCAGCUAACGCGAUAAGUAGACCGCCUGGGGAGUACGGUCGCAAGAUUA
rnacentral:rRNA from 1 species